GCCAAGUAUAUGAGUGAGUGAUGG
rnacentral:piRNA from 1 species